GUGGGCGUAGCUCAGUUGGUUAGAGCAUCAGUUUGUGGCACUGAGGGUCGCGGGUUCGACCCCCGUCGCCCACCCCA
rnacentral:tRNA from 1 species